GAUGAACGCUAGCGGCAGGCCUAAUACAUGCAAGUCGUGGGGCAGCGCAGGUAGCAAUACUGGGCGGCGACCGGCAAACGGGUGCGGAACACGUACACAACCUUCCGAGAAGUGGGGAAUAGCCCAGAGAAAUUUGGAUUAAUACCCCGUAACAUAACGAUGUGGCAUCACAUUGUUAUUAUAGCUUCGGCGCUUCUUGAUGGGUGUGCGGCUGAUUAGAUAGUUGGCGGGGUAACGGCCCACCAAGUCUACGAUCAGUAGCUGAUGUGAGAGCAUGAUCAGCCACACGGGCACUGAGACACGGGCCCGACUCCUACGGGAGGCAGCAGUAAGGAAUAUUGGUCAAUGGAUGGAAGUCUGAACCAGCCAUGCCGCGUGCAGGAAGAAGGCCUUCUGGGUUGUAAACUGCUUUUGCCAGGGGAUAAAAUGACCUUGCGAGGUUAAUUGAAGGUACCUGGUGAAUAAGCCACGGCUAACUACGUGCCAGCAGCC
rnacentral:rRNA from 1 species